rnacentral:rRNA from 1 species
AUUAGAUACCCUGGUAGUCCACGCAGUAAACGAUGAGCGCUAACUGUCCGGGCCAAGCGAGGCCUGGGUGGUACAGUGAAAACGUUAAGCGCUCCACCUGGGGAGUACGCCGGCAACGGUGAAACUCAAAGGAAUUGACGGGGGCCCGCACAAGCGGAGGAACAUGUGGUUUAAUUCGAUGAUACGCGAGGAACCUUACCCGGGCUCAAACGUAAGCGGAAUAACGGUGAAAGCCGUUAGCUAUUUAUAGCCGCUUACGAGGUGCUGCAUGGUUGUCGUCAGCUCGUGCCGUGAGGUGUCGGCUUAAGUGCCAUAACGAGCGCAACCCCCAUCGCCAGUUGCUAACAAGCAACGUUGAGGACUCUGGCGAGACUGCCGGCGCAAGCUGCGGGGAAGGCGGGGAUGACGUCAAAUCAGCACGGCCCUUACGUCCGGGGCGACACACGUGUUACAAUGGCAGGUACAGAGAGAAGCCAUCCCGCGAGGGAGAGCGGAACUUGAAAGCCUGUCUCAGUUCGGAUUGGAGUCUGCAACCCGACUCCAUGAAGCUGGGUUCGCUAGUAAUCGCGCAUCAGCCACGGCGCGGUGAAUACGUUCCCGGGCCUUGUACACACCGCCCGUCAAGCCAUGGGAGCCGGGGGUGCCUGAAGCGCGUGACCGCAAGGAGCGUUCUAAGGCAAAACCGGUGACUGGGGCUAAGUCGUAACAAGGUAAC